AGGUUAAGUUAACAAGGGCGCAUGGUGAAUGCCUUGGCACUAGGAGCCGAUGAAGGACGGUACUAACACCGAUAUGCUUCGGGGAGCUGUACGUAAGCUAUGAUCCGGAGAUUUCCGAAUGGGGCAACCCAGCAGUUUUAAUCAACUGUUACCACUAGAUGAAUUCAUAGUCUAGUUGGAGGUAAACGCUGUGAACUGAAACAUCUCAUUAGCAGCAGGAAUAUAAAGAAAUUUCGAUUCCCUAAGUAGCGGCGAGCGAACGGGGAACAGCCCAAACCAAAGUGCUUGCACUUUGGGGUUGUAGGACUGAACAUUUGAGUUACCAAAGAACUUGAUAGUCGAAGGAUUUGGGAAAAUCCGCCAUAGAUGGUGAUAGCCCAGUAGAUUAAAUCAAAUUCUCUCAGUUCAGGAUCCUGAGUACGGCGGAACACGUGAAAUUCCGUCGGAAUCCGGGAGGACCAUCUCCCAAGGCUAAAUACUACCUAGUGACCGAUAGUGAACCAGUACCGUGAGGGAAAGGUGAAAAGCACCCCGGGAGGGGAGUGAAAUAGUUCCUGAAACCAUGUGCCUACAAUAAGUCAGAGCGCGUUAAUGCGUGAUGGCGUGCCUUUUGUAGAAUGAACCGGCGAGUUAUGAUCCCGUGCAAGGUUAAGACUAAAAAGUCGGAGCCGUAGCGAAAGCGAGUCUGAAAUGGGCGUUUUGAGUACGAGGUUAUAGACCCGAAACCAGGUGACCUAUCCAUGUCCAGGUUGAAGGUGCGGUAAAACGCACUGGAGGACCGAACCCGUGUAAGUUGAAAAUUGCUGGGAUGAGGUGUGGAUAGCGGUGAAAUUCCAAACGAACUUGGAGAUAGCUGGUUCUCUCCGAAAUAGCUUUAGGGCUAGCCUCGGAAUUAGGAUCAUGGAGGUAGAGCACUAUUUGGACUAGGGGCCCGUCUUGGGUUACUGAAUUCAGAUAAACUCCGAAUGCCAUUGAUUCAUAUCCGGGAGUCAGACGAUGAGUGAUAAGAUCCACCGUCGAAAGGGGAACAGCCCAGACCAUCAGUUAAGGUCCCUAAAUGUAUGCUAAGUGGAAAAGGAUGUGGAGUUGCAUAGACAACUAGGAUGUUGGCUCAGAAGCAGCCACCAUUUAAAGAGUGCGUAAUAGCUCACUAGUCGAGUGAUCCUGCGCCGAAAAUGUACCGGGGCUAAGCAUACUACCGAAACCAUGGAUGCGACCAUUAGGUCGCGUGAUAGGAGAGCGUUCUAAGGGCGGUGAAGCAAGAUCGUGAGGACUUGUGGAGCGCUUAGAAGUGAGAAUGCCGGUAUGAGUAGCGAAAGAUAGGUGAGAAUCCUAUCCACCGAAUGACUAAGGUUUCCUGGGGAAGGCUCGUCCUCCCAGGGUUAGUCGGGACCUAAGUCGAGGCCGAGAGGCGUAGACGAUGGAUAACAGGUUGAGAUUCCUGUACUAGUUAAGUGCGUUUGAGCAAUGGAGGGACGCAGGAGGCUAAGAUGUGCAUUCUGUUGGAUUAGAAUGUCCAAGCAGUAAGUCUUGUGAAGAGUCAAAUGCUUUUCACUUUAAGGACAAGCUGUGAUGGGGAGCGAAAUUUAGUAGCGAAGCGUCUGAUGUCACACUGCCGAGAAAAGCUUCUAGUGAGUACUUAACUACCCGUACCGCAAACCGACACAGGUAGUCGAGGAGAGAAUCCUAAGGUGAGCGAGUGAACUCUCGUUAAGGAACUCGGCAAAAUGACCCCGUAACUUCGGGAGAAGGGGUGCUGAUCGCAAGAUCAGCCGCAGUGAAUAGGCCCAGGCGACUGUUUAUCAAAAACACAGGUCUCUGCAAAAUCGUAAGAUGACGUAUAGGGGCUGACGCCUGCCCGGUGCUGGAAGGUUAAAAGGAUGGGUUAGCUUCGGCGAAGCUCAGAAUUGAAGCCCCAGUAAACGGCGGCCGUAACUAUAACGGUCCUAAGGUAGCGAAAUUCCUUGUCGGGUAAGUUCCGACCCGCACGAAAGGCGUAACGAUCUGGGCACUGUCUCAACGAGAGACUCGGUGAAAUUAUAUUGUCCGUGAAGAUGCGGACUACCCGCGACAGGACGGAAAGACCCCAUGGAGCUUUACUGUAGCUUGAUAUUGAGUGUUUGUACAGCUUGUACAGGAUAGGUAGGAGCCAUAGAAACCGGAACGCUAGUUUCGGUGGAGGCGUUGGUGGGAUACUACCCUCGCUGUAUGACCACUCUAACCCGCACCACUAAUCGUGGUGGGAGACAGUGUCAGGUGGGCAGUUUGACUGGGGCGGUCGCCUCCUAAAAAGUAACGGAGGCGCCCAAAGGUUCCCUCAGAAUGGUUGGAAAUCAUUCGCAGAGUGUAAAGGCACAAGGGAGCUUGACUGCGAGACAGACAGGUCGAGCAGGGACGAAAGUCGGGCUUAGUGAUCCGGUGGUACCGUAUGGAAGGGCCAUCGCUCAACGGAUAAAAGCUACCCUGGGGAUAACAGGCUUAUCUCCCCCAAGAGUCCACAUCGACGGGGAGGUUUGGCACCUCGAUGUCGGCUCAUCGCAUCCUGGGGCUGUAGUCGGUCCCAAGGGUUGGGCUGUUCGCCCAUUAAAGCGGUACGCGAGCUGGGUUCAGAACGUCGUGAGACAGUUCGGUCCCUAUCCGUCGCGGGCGUAGGAAAUUUGAGAGGACCUGUCCUUAGUACGAGAGGACCGGGAUGGACAUACCUCUGGUGUACCAGUUGUGCCGCCAGGCGCAUCGCUGGGUAGCUACGUAUGGAUGUGAUAAACGCUGAAAGCAUCUAAGUGUGAAACACACCUCGAGAUGAGAUUUCCCAUUCCUUUAUGGAAGUAAGACCCCUGAAAGAUGAUCAGGUAGAUAGGUUAGAAGUGGCAGUGCGGUGACGCAUGAAGCGGACUAAUACUAAUCGGUCGAGGACUUAACCAAG
rnacentral:rRNA from 1 species